AAAAGCGUAUUUAAAUAGGCUGUGCCGUGUUGUGAUGUAAUCGGUUGUAACAUCCGCUCUAUUGUGUUGUCAUUCCGGCUCUACGUGCUGCAGGAAAAAGGUAUUUGUAAGCGUUUAUGGGUGAUUUAUUUUCCUAGGAUAUGACUACUAAAUAUUCUCUGUUGGUGCUGGUAUAGACUGGGAGUUAGCAAGCAAAUCAGUGGGACCUUUUGAUACAGGAGCCGAUAGGAGGGAGUUGGCUGGCUGUUUAUUCAGGUGAGUGGCGUUCACGUGGGCUUAAUGUUGGUGUGCGUGCGUUUAUAAUGUGUAUCAUUGCAGCGUUUUGUGGCGCGGGUUGUUAGUGGCGUCCGUGCAGCAGCUGCAGUUCACCUAAGUGAACAGAAUUAUCAUCUUCGCGGCGUCCGUGCACCAGUUAUAGUUCACCGAGGUAAACAGAAUCGUCAUUGUCGGUUGGGCAUGACGUGCUGCAAUAUGUGGCAGUAGUGUGAGCGGCCCGGCCAGCGCUGUUGUCUCGCUUGGAUUUUUGAUUUUCUUUUCUUUUGUUUCCAGUUAAUCUGGUUUGUCUGUCUGAAAGGUGAAAUGGUGAAUUGAUGUGUAGUUUUCUUUUUUCUCUUGUCUUUAAGAUAUUUUGUCUGGUCGUUGUUGUAUGUGUUUGUGACUUAAGUUGAGUUAUUCUUUUGGUUUUUGUUAAAGACUAAAAGGAGUUAUUCUCCUGUGUUCGUAUAUCCAUUAUUGUGAUUUAUUUCUUUAUGUGAUUUUCAUGACAUUAUUGGGGACGCUGGAUUUUCGGGCUGUGAGCUGAGGGCCACUUACGAGGGUGUCCUGGGGCUGUGGUAGUGGGGUCUCCUGUGCACUUGAGUGCUUUACUUUCACU